rnacentral:rRNA from 1 species
GACGAACGCUGGCGGCGUGCUUAACACAUGCAAGUCGAACGGGAAGGCCCUGCUUUUGUGUGUUGCUCGAGUGGCGAACGGGUGAGUAACACGUGAGUAACCUGCCCUUGACUUUGGGAUAACUUCAGGAAACUGGGGCUAAUACCGGAUAGGAGCUCCUGCUGCCUGGUGGGGGUUGGAAAGUUUCGGCGGUUGGUGAUGGACUCGCGGCUUAUCAGCUUGUUGGUGGGGUAGUGGCUUACCACGGCUUUGACGGGUAGCCGGCCUGAGAGGGUGACCGGCCACAUUGGGACGGAGAUACGGCACAGACUCCUACGGGAGGCAGCAGUGGGGAAUAUUGCACAAUGGGCGGAAGGAUGAUGCAGUAAAGCGGCGCGCGGGAGGACGGCAUUCGGGUUGUAAACCGCUUUCGCCUGGGACGAAGAGUGAGUGACGGUAAUGGGUAAAGAAGCACCGGCUAACUACGUG